rnacentral:lncRNA from 1 species
ACCUUUUUCGGUCGGGAAUAAAGACAGUAGUGUAAAAUAUAUUUGAAACUCGUUCUAAGCAUUGGUCCCGUGAGGUGGUGAAAAAAUAGGAUUCGUGAUAAGGGUGUUUGGUCGAGGACUUGUGAAGGUUGCUCCAUAAAAUAAUGUCAAAUAUGUCAUUUCAUGUGAAAAAAUAAAGUUAACAAUUCUUCUCUUAUAAUAUACAAAGAAAGAAUUAAAAAUAGAUGAUUAUAUUGUAAUGGGGGAGACAAUAGAGUUUGAUGAAAUCAAA